rnacentral:rRNA from 1 species
AAAUUUGAAAUCUGGCGUCUUUGGCGUCCGAGUUGUAAUUUGCAGAGGGCGCUUUGGCAUUGGCAGCGGUCCAAGUUCCUUGGAACAGGACGUCACAGAGGGUGAGAAUCCCGUACGUGGUCGCUAGCCUUUACCGUGUAAAGCCCCUUCGACGAGUCGAGUUGUUUGGGAAUGCAGCUCUAAAUGGGAGGUAAAUUUCUUCUAAAGCUAAAUACUGGCCAGAGACCGAUAGCGCACAAGUAGAGUGAUCGAAAGAUGAAAAGCACUUUGGAAAGAGAGUUAAAAAGCACGUGAAAUUGUUGAAAGGGAAGCGCUUGCAGCCAGACUU